UAAAAUAUUAUUAAUUAGUUCGGUAAUUAAUGGAAUAAGGGUAAUGUGAUAAAAGGGAAAUAUGGUAAUUUGAUUAGUUUAGUGAAACUAAUUAAAGAGAUAAAAGAAAAAGAAUUAUUUGUGAUUAAUUAUGAAAGGCCAUAGAUGUGGAAUGAACCUUGAAUUUAUUUCAAGUGUUUUCCUGAAUCGAACCCGAUAUAGUAGGUUCGUAAUUCUCGAAUAGUCGAGAAUGAGAAGGAAUUGUGAAUCGGUUACGUUGAAAUAACGACCGAAAAUGAUAGUGUUUUGUGAAAAGUUUUUAAUGUGAUGAUUGUUUGUAUACGAUAUGAUAUCGUAUUUAUGUGGCUACGUGUUUAGAGGUCGGUAAUAGAUUUAGAAUUCUAUUUUGAAAUCGACUUAACACGAUUCCUGAAUAUAGAUGUGACGGAAAGUCAACUAUUGACGGAUCAAAUUGAAGGAGCACCGGUUGGAAUAGACCGAGUGGCUAAUAGUGGAUCAUCGUGGCGUAUUUAAUUAUUUAUGGAGCGACAGUCUGAAUAUUGCCUGUGUUUGGACGAGACUUCAUCUUUUUGAUUCUUGAAGUCUUCGUUUUGCGUAUAUGGUAAUUGGUCUUAUUUUGAUCUGUAGAGCUGCAGUAGAAUAGAUAGACAGACGCCUUAGCAUGUCAGUAUUUGCGAUAUUUGCCACGCAUGAACUCUGUUUUGUUUUCAUCGCACGAUUAUAAUAUAAUUUAACGACAUGCAUUAAGGUAUUGGAAAAUAGUUGCAACCCGGGUACACGGUAGUACCGGGAGUUUUGAGAUACAGUGUAAAGGAAACUGUACGCAACUAUGUUAUGUGUAUAAUAUGGGGCCCAGCGUGGCUAUAUGCAUGAUUGCAUGUUAUCGGUUUUGUAAAAGACGGUAUUCGAGGGAUACGCGUUAAAACGAUAACUAGUAAUUGAAAAGUAACGGUUUUAAUUUAAUGAAUGUAUUUGCAUAAUGAAAUGCAUUUAAAUCCAUAAUGAAAUGGUCUGCAUAGUGAAAUGCAGUUAUCACCAUAAUGAGAUGGUGUGUGCAUAAUGAGAUGCAUUAUUAACCCCAGUGUAGUGGGUAUGAAACUUGAAUACAUUAAUUAAAUAGGAAAUUAAUUGUAAAGUUUCAUUAUGAUUUUAUCGGAACGUUUUUAAACGGAGAUUUUAAAAUGUUCGAAAAUGUGUUUUGAAUUCCGCGAAAAAUUUGAAGUGAUUUUUAAAGUGUUUUUAAGGCUUGCUACGGGUUUUGGAGCAACCACUCCCAUUCCCUAGCGCCGGUCUCGACGCCAAGAAUCGGGUCGUGACAAAGGUGGUAUCAGAGCAAUGGUCGAUGAGUUGGGCCAUUGCGUGAUAAUGUGUGAGCAAUAUUCGAAAAAGUUGAAUUAUUGCAUAGUGAUAAAGAGUAAAGGCUUAGAAAUGUCUAUCGUGUUCCUAGGAAUUGAUUAGUAUUCAUAGGAAUCUACUGCAGCAUAUAAGAAUUCGAAUCAUGUCUUUGUUAUGUCAUCGUUUUCAAAAUCCUCGAUCUUCAGCUUUCCCUUAGGAAGUGAGUAUGUGAUUAUGUGAUUAUGUGCUUAUUUGCAAUUCUAUGAUUCGUUGAUUAAAGUUGAUUUCGGUUAAUGAAAACCGAAUAUGAUUGCAUGAUUUUUAGUAUUUAAAACGUGCAAAAUGUGAUAUGUGGGAAGUAUGAAAAUUAAUUGUUUAAUUGUUAUAUGAGGAAGUUAUAUGGUUUAUGUUUGGCUAUUCGAUGAUUAUGUGUUUAAAGAAUGAUGUGCGAUUUGUUUGCGCAUUUGAAUUUGAUUGGUUGCUAAGUGAGCAACGUGAUUUGAUUAGAAUGAGUGGCUAAAAAUAAGUGGAAACUCAUGUUGUAGAAGUAGAACAUGAUAAAGAGGAGACUCAUGAUGAGACCUCUGUUAAGGGUAAAGGAAAUGCCCAUUACCUAUAGUAGGUAAAAAUCGUGAAUGAUAGAUGAUAAUAGAGAUCGAGGCGUUAUCGUUGACAUUUCAAUGGUCAACGAAAAAUAAAGUGAGAACGAUUUCUACAGAGUCGAAAAGAUGUCUAAGGCAAACUUAUUAAAACAAAAUUUAUGGAUUGUUUUCAAAUGAAUUUGUUUCAAAAAAAAAAAAAAAAAAAUUGUGCGCACAAGAAAAAGAAAGUUUUAACGAUAUUUCUUUGAUUUCAAAAAAAUGAGAAUUCUGAAAGGUUAUUGAAAAGAAAAAGGGGACGCCCUAAUUUUUAAAGUGAAUUUGAGUUUCAAAUAAGUAUUGCUGGACACAACUCUGUAGUAUCGAAAGAAGUUUGAGAUAAUCAAUAUUGUUCGUGGGACAAAGAAUUCAAGUACGUUCUGAUAUUCAAGUAUAAGGAGAAAUUCUUAUCGAAUAUCCGGAUUUCUACCCGAGUAGAAAUUCGAUAGCGAUAGAGUAGAAUUAUCAGGUAUUUUAGAUGAUAAUACUGAUAAUGUAAGCUAGGUAUAUCCUUUGAGAUAUAAGGAUUACGCGGCGGACCGAGCGAAUAGAUCGAUUAAGCGUACGCUAGCGAGAUGUUGCACUAAAGAUAGAGUAGUUAGUACGAAAUGUAGAAAGACAUUGAGUAAGUGGUAACAAUUGGAUGUGUAGAACCAUCCUAUUAUAAUAAGUAAGUGCGUUUGUGGUUAAAGACGAUGUUAAUGCCAAAGUAUAAUUUCAUCUUUUACGAAAUAUGAUGAAAUGGAAAGGGAGUAAUCCUGAAAUAAAGAGUAGAGGUGAAUAAAGGAUUAAUAGAAAAGAGUAUGGAAAGUGAUUACGAUCAAAGAUAAUCGGUAAAUCUUGUGUAUUGGUCAUGAACGGAAUUCAUGAAUUAUUUAAAGAAAAAUAAGUAUAAAUGGAAGAGCAGAUAAGUGAAAGUUAGCAUUGAAGCUAUAUAAAGUGAUGAACAAGAAUUUAAAGAUUGUCGUAGUGAGAAUAAAAAAAAAUCAAAUGAGAAAGGUGAUUAAGAGGCAAAGUGAUUGGAAUAAGGAUGUGUGUUCUCUGACGAAUAAAGUCAUGAGUAGAAAGUGAUGUGAUAAGGAGACAAGAUAAUUGGGUACCAGAAAUAUCUUUUCUGACGCCUAGAAAGGUAGUAGAAGGUUGUAUGCGUGUGCUCAAGAUAGAGACACGAGUUGUAUGAUGUAAUUAGUGAGAUUUUCACGAAUCAAAGUGAAUGGAAUCUCAGGCUGAGAAAUUGAUUUAGAAAAUUUCGAAGCUAUGAUUACACUGCAAAAACAUUACAGAAUAGGAAAUGUUAUGGCAAAUGUGUUGAGUACAAAAUCUUCAGAUAGUCUCACGCGUAAUGCAAAAGCAUUGACUAAAUUCUUAACUCAGAAAUAUUAUAAUUUUCUAGAGAAAGAAUUCUGUGGUAGAAGGAGGUAAGUUUCGGUGUGGGAAAUUGAUUAUUGGCAUAUGAAUUAAGGAGUUAUGAAGUAAUGAAGUGUAUUUGGCGAAAGAAUCGUCACAAGUUAAUUCUGGAAUUGAUUCAGAUUAAAGAGAAAAAAAGGGAGAGAAUCUAAGGACGUUACGAAAUAGAAAGUACAGUGACGCAAUGGUGUAAGAAAAAGCUAAAAGAAUAAGAUUUGAUAUAAGAAAGUGGUAAGUACGAGUUUGACAUGUGAAACUCGGAAAACAUAAAGAUGAGUGCAGGAGUUGUAAAGAUGUAGUCAAUAUGAAAACUGUGAGAGAAAUAUAAAUAAGAUAGUGAUAUUUGGAUGAGAACGCAGUGAGAGUGAUAGGUAGAGUCGGUAAACAUUAACAAAAAGUAAAAGUAAUUAAUGAGAUAAGGACCAAUGAAAGAAUUUUAUAUAUUGGAAAAGAGAAGAGGUAAAGUAUCAGAGUAGCGCAGUGGAAGCGCAAAGGAUUUAUAUUUUACACUAAAAUGAGUAACUGGUAAGCACAAACGAGUUUUAAGCAAUUCGAGGACGAAUUGUUUUUAAGUGGGGGAGAAUGUAAUACCCCGAAAAUUUAAGGAUGUAAUCUUAAAAGAACGGACGGUGAGAUUAGUCCCGUUGACUUUUAGGCCGGGAAUAGAAAAGUUAAUUUGACAAUUUAAGGCUUUAAUCGAGUCAAAUUGUGUGAAUUAUGUGAUUACGUGUUAGAAAUAGAUUGCGUGCUAUUUGAAAAUUGAUUUGUUAUGUGCAGUGGCAUUUUCGUAAAUAAAUGCAAAAUAUUUUAAAAUGGAUUUUGUAAAUAUUUAAAUGGGUUAAAAUAUGAAAUUUGACUUUUAGAGCUAAAAUAAAUAUUUGUGGAUGCAUUGGUAGAACAUAUUUUAUUUGUUUUAAAAAAAAAACGGUAUUUAAUUAAUCAUAAAAAUAAAUAUACUAUAAAAUAUAGUGUAGAGACUAAAAGGAGAACAAAUGGGGUGUAAGGGUUGUGACACAUGUAGAUACAUGUGUCAUGGAAACAAAAAGGGGUUGACACAUGUAAAGACAUGUGUCACCAUUUUGGAAAGAACUUGGAAGUUAAGUUUCCAAGGUGACAAAAUGUUUUGUUUUAUUAACAAAAAUGGCAAUUUCCUUUCUUUCUCUUUUAAAACAAAAGCUUCCAUUUUCUAUUUUUCUUACCAAAACCGUAACACCCCCACCAAGAAGAAGACUCUAGUUUCUUUUGAUUCUUGUACUUUUUCAAAACUACAACAAGAUGUGACGGAAAGUCAACUAUUGACGGAUCAAAUUGAAGGAGCACCGGUUGGAAUAGACCGAGUGGCUAAUAGUGGAUCAUCGUGGCGUAUUUAAUUAUUUAUGGAGCGACAGUCUGUGAGUUUGCAUUUUUACAUGCAUACAUUAAAGUAAUAAAAUUACUAUUAUUACUUUAAUGUGGAAAUUAAUGUCAUAAAGCAUUUUAAAUAUAUCGUAUAUUUAUUUUGAGUAAAUAAAAUUAUUAUGGAAUGAGUCUACGAAACGUGCCAUCCUAUUGGGCUAUAAUAGGACUAUGUGAUCACUAGUUAUUGCAUGCAUAUUUAUUUUAUGAGUAAAGUGGAAUGGCUGUGUGAAUCUAGACGACGGUCUAGAAGUCUGAGACGACGGUCCAGACAUAGCGGGAGAGCUUCUAAGACGACGGUCUAGAACCCCGAACAAGUUAACGGCGAUGGAACGAUAGAGUUCGGCCGAUUAAUUUAAGGACUAACGGCGUCAUGGAACAUUAAAUGUUAUCGGUCGUUGAGUCCAUGAGAAAAGUUGGAAACAGUCUAAAGAAAGGUUUAGAACUGUAAAGGAUUGUGGAAAAAUAAACUAGAGUCGAGCGAAUGUACGGGUUCAGCCGACUAGUUUAUUAACCUAAGUCUGAAAGGAGACUUAGAGGGAAAUGGAUUAGAAAUGGCAUUUCAUUUAAAGCAUUACGUUUCUGUGAUUAAACCGGUAAUAAAUAUUUUAAUAUGUCUAUUUUAUAACGUGGUAAAGUAUUUAAUGUGUGUUUGUAAGUUGUAAACUCACCAGUAUAUCUGACCCACGUUGUGGAACUAUU